GACGAACGCUGGCGGCGUGCUUAACACAUGCAAGUCGAACGAAAAGGCCCUGCUUUUGUGGGGUGCUCGAGUGGCGAACAGGUGAGUAUCACGUGAGUAACCUGCCCUUGACUUUGGGAUAAAUUCAGGAGACUGGGGCUCAUACCGGAUAGGAGCUCCUGCUGCAUGGUGGUGGUUGGAAAGAUUCGGCGGUUGGGGCUGGACUCGAGGCUUAUCCGCUUGUUGGUGGGGUAGUGGCUGACCAAGGCUUUGACGGGUAGCCCGCCUGGGAGGGUUACCGGCCACAUGGGGACUGAGAGACGGCCCAGACUCCUACCGGAGGCAGCGGUGGGGAGUCUUGCAGAAUGGGCGGAAGCCUGAUGCAGCAACGCCGCGUGCGGGAUGACGGGCUUCGGGUUGUAAACCGAUUUCUCAUUUGAUGAAGAGUGAGUGACGGUAAUGGGUAAAGAAGCACCGGCUAACUACGUG
rnacentral:rRNA from 1 species